rnacentral:rRNA from 1 species
UGGGGAAUAUUGCGCAAUGGGGGAAACCCUGACGCAGCGACGCCGCGUGUGGGAUGAAGGUCUUCGGAUUGUAAACCACUGUCGCGAGGGACGAAGCUCUGACGGUACCUCGAAAGGAAGCACCGGCUAACUCUGUGCCAGCAGCCGCGGUAAUACAGAGGGUGCGAGCGUUGUCCGGAAUCACUGGGCGUAAAGGGCGCGUAGGCGGCCCGGUAAGUAGGGGGUGAAAUCUCAUGGCUCAACUGUGAGGCUGCCUUCUAGACUGCCAGGCUUGAGCACAGUAGAGGCGAGUGGAAUUCCCGGUGUAGCGGUGGAAUGCGUAGAGAUCGGGAAGAACAUCGGUGGCGAAGGCGGCUCGCUGGGCUGUUGCUGACGCUGAGGUGCGAAAGCUAGGGGAGCAAACGGGAUUAGAUACCCCAGUAGUCCCUGAGCGGGCUGGCAAGGCGCAU